GAUGAACGCUAGCGGCAGGCCUAACACAUGCAAGUCGAGGGGCAGCACAGAAACAGCAAUGUUUUGGUGGCGACCGGCGGACGGGUGCGUAACGCGUAUGCAACCUACCUUUAACAGGGGGAUAACGGAGAGAAAUUUCCACUAAUACCCCAUAACAUCGAUCAAGGCAUCUUGAUUGGUUGAAAACUCCGGUGGUUAAAGAUGGGCAUGCGUUGUAUUAGGUAGUUGGUGAGGUAAUGGCUCACCAAGCCUACGAUACAUAGGGGGGCUGAGGGGUAAGCCCCCACACUGGUACUGAGACACGGACCAGACUCCUACGGGAGGCAGCAGUGAGGAAUAUUGGUCAAUGGGGGCAACCCUGAACCAGCCAUGCCGCGUGCAGGAAGACGGCUCCAUGAGUUGUAAACUGCUUUUAAACAGGGAUAAAGCACAGUAUGUAUACUGUGUUGAAGGUACUGUAAGAAUAAGGAUCGGCUAACUCCGUGCCAGCAGCCGCCGUAA
rnacentral:rRNA from 1 species